AAUAUGAAUAACUUUCCACUUAUGAUGCCAAUGAGGGAGCGUUUGGUCAUUGACUGCAGGUAAGGGCUACACAAUAUCUAUUUCAUAAACAAAUAACAUAGCUGUUUUCUGUUUUUCAUGAGAAUGCGCAUGUCACAUUCAUGCUCACUGGCCAAUGCUGGGAUAGAUUGGCGGUACCAGGUGUCCUCGCGCUCUCUCGCUCUCUCUCUCAUUUCAUUUUCAAUUUAAGGGCUUUAUUGGCAUGGGAAACAUAUGUUAACCUUGCCAAAGCAAGUGAAGUAGAUAAUAAACAAAAGUGAAAUAAACAAUACAAAUUAACAUUACACUCACAAAAGUUCCAAAAGAAUAAAGACAUGUUAAAUGUCAUACUAUGUGCAAGUAGUACAAAAGGCACUACAGAAGGUAGUAAAAUACUAAAGGGAAAAUAAAUAAACAUAAAAAUGGGUUGUAUUUACAAUGGUUUUUGUUCUUCGCUGGAUGCCCUUUUCUUGUGGAAAUAGGUCACACGCCUUGCUGCUGUUAUGUCACACUGUGGUAUUUCACUCAAUAGAAAUUGGGGUUGUUUUCAAGUUCUUUGUGGAUCUGUGUAAUCAGAGGGAAAUGUGUGCCGCUAAUAUGGUCAUACAUUUGGCAGGCGGUCAGGAAGUGCAACUCAGUUUCCACCUAAUUUUGUGGACAGGGUGCACUCUCUCUUUCUCUCUCUCUCUGCAUAGAUGUCCGCCGGCGCAUGUGACUUACCAGAAAGUACAGAGAACGGGGAAUUCCCUCGCCGCAAUUACUAGAGAUUGUAUUGGAGCUGAUCGUACCGGCAGUCAGCAUCCUGUGUCUGAGUUCGGGACAGUUGACGCUGUAGCCUUUAAAAAACACUCUGCUCUGCGUUUGUGAGCAAACUUUCGUUCUGGCAAAGAAGACUGGAUUCUACACGGAGCACCUUUGUAAAAAGAACCGGAAUAUAACGAACGAACGAUUUUUAAAAUCAAAUUUCUAUUCUUAUUAAUGAUGACGACUAGCGGUGGUGCGAACUGAAUUGAGGCACUGUGGCCAGUGUGACUCAAUUACACAUUCUCUGGGGAAAUUGUUCCUCCUCAUUUUUGGGGGAGUGGGACACCAGACUUUCACGAAAACCACAAUAUGCAUGAUGUGUCCAAACCAGGGUCCACAUUCUGCCCAGUAAUACAGGCUCAAAAAUGACUUUUCAACCAAUAUAUCUAGAUGCAUAACUUCCUAUGGAUCGAACAACAGAACACCAUGCGCAGGCUUAAAGAAGAGUUCCAAUGCCUCUCCGAAUUCCACAAGGGAAUAUGAGGACUUCUCCACUCUGUCUUUCUGAGAUACUCGCAGCACAAGACAACAGGACCCAACAGGCUACCGGUACGAUGCCCGUCGAAGCCAUCUACAUGGUGAUGGAGGUGAUCAUCGCAGUGACUUCGGUGAUCGGAAACGUAAUGGUUAUCUGGGCGGUGCGGAUCAACCGUUCGAUGCGAGACACCACCUUCUGUUUCAUUGUGUCUCUGGCUCUGGCGGACAUUGCGGUGGGGGCUCUGGUCAUCCCGCUGGCCAUCACCAUCAACAUCGGUUUCGAGAUGCACUUCUACAGCUGCCUGCUGGUCACGUGCAUCGUGCUGGUGCUCACGCAGAGUUCCAUCCUCGCGUUGCUGGCCAUCGCUAUCGACCGUUACCUGAGGGUGAAAAUACCCAUGAGCUACAAACAUGUGGUGACACGGCGGCGUGCAGGCACGGCGGUGGUGGUGUGUUGGAUGGUUGCCAUAGUGGUUGGCCUGACGCCCAUGCUGGGCUGGAACAACCGGCAGUGUCUCCAUGACAACGUCUCCCAGGUGAUGUGUAAGUUUGAGAAAGUCAUCAGCAUGGACUACAUGGUCUACUUCAACUUCUUCGGCUGGGUGCUUCCGCCCCUCGUCCUCAUGCUGCUAAUCUAUGCUGAGAUAUUCUACAAGAUACACCACCAGCUCAACAAGAAGGUGACGGAGAGCCACGUAGACCGCAGCCAUUACUACAGUAAGGAGCUGAAACUAGCCAAGUCAUUGGCUCUGGUCCUCUUCCUGUUUGCCAUCAGCUGGCUUCCUCUAAACAUCCUCAACUGCAUCACGCUGUUUAGCCCAAACGGUGACAAGCCCACGCUUCUCAUCUACAUCGCCAUCCUGCUCACCCACGGCAACUCCGCUGUGAACCCCAUUGUCUACGCAUUUCAGAUCAAGAAGUUCCAGAAUGCGUUCCGGAAGAUCUGGAAGCAAUAUGUGCUGUGUAGGGACCCGGUAGGCAAGCUGCCCCAGAGAGGGAGUCAGAGGUGCCAGAGCAGAUUGGAGAGGAUGUUGAGGGCGAACGAUGAUAACAAUUAUGUCUGAUCUGGUGAUGAAGGUCAUAGGGGGGCACGGGUCUGUCUGAUCUGGUGAUGAAGGUCAUAGGGGGGCACGGGUCUGUCUGAUCUGGUGAUGAAGGUCAUAGGGGGGCACGGGUCUGUCUGAUCUGGUGAUGAAGGUCAUAGGGGGGCACGGGUCUGUCUGAUCUGGUGAUGAAGGUCAUAGGGGGGCACGGGUCUGUCGCAUCCCGCAAUGUGUAUGUUGUUUGGUGUGGUGUUCUUUUAUGCUUUUUAAAUUUGUACACUUUAUUUGUUAACCAUCUGUUAAUGAUGGCUUUUCAGUGGUGGGGUGUUGGACUGAUCGUGUUGAUCAUGAACAUACUCGGUACUAAAUUGACUUAUGGAAACGCUGCCGGCAGUGGAAUCCAAUACAGCAGAGAGUUUCUACUUCGUUACAACUCAAACACGAACGUAAUGGAUAUCCCAAGGGCCAAUCUAAUCCCUGAUUGUCUGCGAGUGGAUUACAAACCCACAUGUAAAUGUGGAAAACGCAGGGGAAUCAGACAGAGAAGUAUGACAGGAUAGUAGACAGUAUAAAUAAAUAAAAAACAUCCCUUACCUAACACCUUGCUGAUCAACGCCCAGUCACUGAGGGGGAAAGUGGAUGAGCUGUCAGCGAAUCUGCGCCUCCACAUAAAUACUGGGAGGCCUGUUUGCUGGCGUUUACUGAGACUUGGCUGGAUGGGUCCCAGACAGGGAAGUGGAGCCAGCUGGCGUCACACUGGCUAGAUCGUGAUCUGACCGUCACAGGGACUAGUGGUGUAAAUGGAUCCUGGUAAGAGAGAGACUCUGUACCCCCGAUAUUGAACUGCUUUCUGUGUCACCGCGACCCUACUAUCUGCCCCGUGAGUUCCCCCAAUUGUUUGUGACCGUUGUGUACAUUCAACCGAAAGAUAAUAUAGCAAAGGCAUCAGAGAUUAUUUAUAAUCUGUCACAGAAAUUGGGUUCCAUCUCCCCCGACGCACCCACAUUUAUUUUAAUGGAUUUUAACAACAGCACUUUGCACAAGGUCCUGCACACGUACCACCAGUAUGUGAAAUGUCACACUAGGAAAAACAAGACUCUUGACCUGUGCUAUGGAACCAUACCAAAUGCUUUCUCUGCCACCAACAGAUCUCCCCUGGGGACAUCUGACCACAAUGUUGUCUACCUCCGGCCAACCAAUCUUGGAGAGGGAGAAACCUACAGUUAAAACUGUCCAGAUCUGGAACGACAACAGUAUCACUCCUCUCCAAGGGUGUUUUGAUUGUACUGUGGGAGGUAUUUGAAGACAGCAGCUCUGAUCUUAACAAACUCACAGAUGUUGUUUCAGACUUUGUCAACUUCUGUGUUGAGUCAGUUGUGCCUAUAAAAACCAGUAAAAUAUUCCUAAACAAUAAGCCUUGGGUAUCAAAACAUCUAAAAUCACUACUUGAUAGGAAGAAGGCAGUUUAUGCUGAGGGUGGUAGACAGGCUUUAAGAGAUGUACAACGUGAGAUAAAAAGACAGAUACUGGUGGACAAGGAGGCAUACAAGCAAAGGGUGGAGAGGACCCUCUCCUCAGGAAACUCAAGGGUGGCCUGGCAAAAGAUGAAAUACAUGGCUCGUGCCACCCACAUAGGCAGGGGAAAAACCAAUGCGGACCAUGGGAGACAUGAGGGCCAGAACAAGGCUAAUGAACUGAAUGUUUUCUUCUCAAGAUUUGAAUCAGACGACUUAGGAAAAAAACAAACAAAUGGAAGUAUCAUUAAAAGUGUUUGAGAGGGUAGUUGUUAAACAGGCUGGUGUUUUGAAGUUGUUCGGUGGAUGUAACGCACAAAAAAGCCCAGGCCUGGACAAAAUAAGUGGACAUUGAAGCACUGUGAUGAACAAAUAGUUGGUGUUUUUACAGACAUUUUCCAAUCCUCGCUCGACCCGGCAACUGUGGUGGAAUAUUGACUCAGAAAUAUAACACAUUUUCUAGAACUUGUGAAUUCAAAUGAGACUUUAAUACAAGGUAGCAAAGCCGAGCCCUUCCACGUAAAGACUAUUUUACAAACGUAACAGAGCCGAUCCCCUCCAUGGAAAAUACUAAAUUCUCAUAUUACAGAGGCCUGCCUUUAUAGGAUUCUGUCUUUGCAUAACGUAUAAAGUCCCCUCCCUCUAUAUGAAAAUAGCUUCCCUUGACUUUUCUUUAUCAUCACUUUUCCAUCUCAGUUCUUGCUUGUUAACACCCACAUCUGACAGCUGUAUAGGUUAUAAUGGUAGCAGGGCCCUGGUCCUGUACUGGUCCUAUAUGUUCCAUUCCUUGUAUGGCCAUUCUGUCUUAGCUCUCCAACAUGAACAGCUUAGAUGCUGCUAAUAAUGGAAAUGUAAUCGAUAGUCGUGGGUUUUGCUCCAACACAACACGUGCCAGUAUUGUGGAAAACCUCAAUAAUUAUACCCAUUCCUAAAGCAUCUUAGCCCUCUCUGCUGCAUGACCCUGUCACCUUGGCAUCCUUAGGAAGGAAAUGCUUUGAGAAAAUUGUGAAAGGUCAUAUUCUCAGCACCACCCGUUUCAGUUUGCCAAUCAGCCCAGCAGAGGAGUUGAUGAUGCCAUUCUCACUCUCCUCAACAUGAUCUACAGACAUCAAGAGGGCGCCAAAUCCCUUGUCAGUGUUCUGUUUGUUGACUUUUCUUCUGCCUUCAACACAAUCCAGCCUUAUAUUCGGGCACAGAGACUCAUAAGUGACUUCUCCUGAGAUGGGGGGCUGGUUUUGUGGCUGUUGGGACUUCCUGAGCCAGAUGUCACAGCGGGUCAAGUUGGGUGUCGGACAUACGCACCACCAACACAAGCUCCCCACGGGGAUAUGUUUUGUCCCCACUCCUGUACAUUUUAUACACCAUCCUGACAGACACCUAGUUAAGUUCGCUGAUGACACUGCCUUGAUCAGCCUGUUGCAUGAUGACGAGGAACAUCAUGGCCCGGUCCUAGAUGACUUUGUAGAGUGGUGUGAUGAAUCACACCUGGUCCUCAACACCAACAAGACCAAAGAGAUGUGCAUAGACUUCAAGAAGCGUACAACACCUACCUCUGCAUCAUCUGUCAGAGGUCAGAACAUAGAGAUAGAGGAAUACAAAUACCUGGGUGUCCUCUUGGACAAUAAGCUUCAGUGGAGUAAAUGUACAGACCUGAUCUACUAAAAGAGUCAACAGAGACUGUACUUUCUAAAAAGCUGGGAUCUUUUAAUGUUGAGAGUAUUUCAACUUUUUGUAUUGUUUGUUGGUUUGGCAAUUGCCCGUGUCAGCCAGAGAAACAUCCUGAGAAGGAUUAUCACCACAGCAAGCAAGGUACUUAAGAGUCAAACAGACAGGCCCUCAGCAAGGCUCAUAAAAUUAUUUUUAGACCCAAGCCACCCCCUGUACCCGGACUUUGAACUACUCCCCUCUGGGUGCAAGUCUAGGGCACCCCCUUGCAUGAAAACUAAACUAGACAAUAAUUUGUGCCAGGUGUGAUAUCCCUCCUAAACAGUUCAGGCUGAUGUUCCUAUCGACCCAGUAAGGCCAGCAGGCUAGUCUUUAUUUAUUUGGAUGUAACUGUUAUGAAUAUUGUGCUGUCAAUUAGUGGUAUUGUCAUGUAUAUGUUUAAACACCAUGUUAAACAUGUACAUGAUACUGCAGCAACAUUUCCCCACGGGGACAAUAAAGUAAGUAAGUAAGUAAGUGAAGAUGUCGGGAAUACUGGAUUAUAAGAGCAGAAGGAUGAACAUGACAAUGGUUUCUCUGUUGAUUCGCCUGCUGGUUAGAGAAUUAUGAUUGGAUAAAGAGGUGGAGGUGGUGGGAGGGAUCCUAACCCUGCAGUGAUUGAACUGAAGGAGGGUAUGGAGAAGGGACCCUAUCCCUAACCCUUGACAGAAUCGAGGGGGACCCUAACCUCAGUUUGACCCCACACAGUGAGGAAGUUCUGUCAAGGAAUGUUCCUAAACGAGGGUUGAAAUGUUACCUCACACAGGCUGAAUUAACGAUCCACAGGUGGCUGGGUUCCCACACCGUAACCAUGGGUGAUCUAAUCUCUCUACAUUCUAGAAUGCAGCCGAAUGGCGUCACUCCUAAUACAUCACUAAGGUCCAUCGACUGACAAGACAGGUUGUACUGUCUGACCUGAUGCAAGACAACAGAACAGAACAGACCAAUGGAGAGGUCAGGUCAGAAUGGUGAUUUAGGAUUCCGAAUUAGAAGGAAGGCAGAAUUACUAACAAUGACUUCAACCAUCUCCCAUCGGCUUAGGGAAUGAUGAUGUGUAACGGGUGAAGGGGGUAUCCAGCAUGUACCAAUAGGAACCUGUUGAACUAUUAGUAGCACACUAUGGCUGUGUCUGAAAUGACACCCUUUAUAGUGCACAACUUUUUUGGGGGUGGACCAGAGCCCGCAAAUCACUUAAAACUUCAAAUGGUUCAAACACGCACAGUCAUGAAGAAGGCGCAACAGGAUGUUGAAAAAGUUUGGCAUGGGACCUCAAAUCCUCAAAAGGUUUGACAGUUGUCCCAUUGAGAGCAUUUUGACUAGCUGCCUCACUGCCUGGCAUGGCAAUAGCACCGCCCUCGAUCGCAUGGCGCUACAGAGGGUGGUGUCAUACAUUAUUCAAAAUGUUUGACAAAUCCAAUAAGGAUUGAUCUAAGGGAAAAUACUCUGACAUUGUGGUACAAACAAAUGCUCUCGAAACAACUCAGUCUCUGGAUCCGAUUUUGGAGAUGAGGGAGGUGAGGGAGAAGGAUAAAGUGAGUGAGAAGG